GAAAGCCCUCCUCCCGGGCCAAGGUAGAGGAAGUUGGGCUCCCGCCUGGCUGGGAGGCGGGAGGGAUCCCGCUCCUGUUGUUUUCCGCCGGCAGGAGUAGGCUGGCGGGCGCAGGGGGCGGGGUGCGCCCUCCCUCCCCGGCCAGGGCGCUCGGGAGCGGGGACCCGAGCCUGCAGCCGAGCUCCGCUGCCGGCCCUGGACACUCGGCUCAGCCAAGCAUCCUUCCUGGGGGCCGAGGAAGUGGGGCCACUCUGCCGUUCCGAGGACCUGGGAGGAGCCCUCGGUACCCCGGGCCCCGGGGCCCUGGGGCACACACGUCCAGCCCAGCCCGAGCCUGCGUUUCCUGAGCCGGGAUCUGGGGCGAGAUGGCCGCAGGCGGCAGUGCGCCCGAGCCCCGCGUCCUCGUCUGCCUCGGGGCGCUCCUGGCCGGCUGGGUCGCCGUAGGUUGAACUCGCCUUACACCUGUAACCGGUGGACUUCCCUACACACCUUUGCAAGUCUUCCUGUGCCGACCAGCGCCUUCAAAGCGGGGUCUUCCGCCUUUACUUUUGGAAAAGCUUUUUAUUUUGAAAUACUUGGCUGACUUACAAAAGACUUCCCCUCACACUUGACAUGAUUGACAAAAGGAUUGGAGGCUGUUGUCAUUGGAGAAGUUCAUGAGAAUGUUACUCUGCACUGUGGCAACAUCUCGGGACUGAGGGGCCAGGUGACCUGGUACCGGAACAACUCGGAGCCUGUCUUCCUUCUCUCGUCCAACUCUAGCCUCCGGCCAGCUGAGCCUCGCUUCUCUCUAGUGGAUGCCACCUCCCUGCACAUUGAAUCGCUGAGCCUGGGAGAUGAGGGAAUCUACACCUGCCAGGAGAUCCUGAAUGUGACUCAGUGGUUCCAAGUGUGGCUGCAGGUGGCCAGUAAGUGGGGCUGGCAGGGACCGGGGCUGGAGAGGUGCUCGGAGCCUUGGAAAGGAGGAGACCAUGGUCAGGAAUAUGGGUUUUGGGUUCGGAUGGCCUGGAAAUCAUUCUGGGCCCUGCCACAUGGAAGCUGAGGGACCUCUCACACCUCUAUUUCCUCACCUGUAAAAUGGAGAUAAAAAGAAUUUCUGUGGCCGGGCGCAGUGGCUCAUGCCUGUAAUCCCAGCACUUUGGCAGGCCAAGCCGGGCGGAUCACUUGAAGUCAGGAGUUUGAGACCAGCCUGGCCAACGUGGUGAAACCCCAUCUCUAUU
rnacentral:lncRNA from 10 species